AUUGAACGCUGGCGGCAGGCCUAACACAUGCAAGUAGAGCGAGCGGCGGACGGGUGAGUAAUGUCUGGGAAACUGCCUGAUGGAGGGGGAUAACUACUGGAAACGGUAGCUAAUACCGCAUAACAUCAGGUGUGCCCAGAUGGGAUUAGAUAGUAGGUGGGGUAACGGCUCACCUAGGCGACGAUCCCUAGCUGGUCUGAGAGGAUGACCAGCCACACUGGAACGGAGAUAGGGUCCAGACUCAGACGGGAGGCAGCAGUGGGUAAUAUUGCACAAUGGGCGCAAGCCUGAUGCAGCCAUGCCGCGGGGGUGAAGAAGGCCUGCGGGUUGGAAAGCACUUUCAGCGGGGAGGCGUUACCCGCAGAAGAAGCACCGGCUAACUCCGUGCCAGCAGCCGCGGUAAUAC
rnacentral:rRNA from 1 species